rnacentral:rRNA from 1 species
UACGAGGGGUGCAAGUGUUGCUCGGAAUUAUUGGGCGUAAAGGGUAGGUAGGUGGUCUCAUUUGUCUAGGGUGAAAGCCUUGAGCUUAACUCAAGAAGUGCCCCUAGAAACGGUGAGACUGGAGUCUUGGAGAGGGUCGUGGAAUUCCCGGUGUAGCGGUGAAAUGCGUAGAGAUCGGGAGGAACACCAGCGGCGAAGGCGGGUUGCUGGGCUGACACUGACGCUGAAGCGCGAAAGCUAGGGGAGCGAACGGG